rnacentral:rRNA from 1 species
CCUACGGGAGGCAGCAGUGAGGAAUAUUGGUCAAUGGACGAGAGUCUGAACCAGCCAAGUAGCGUGAAGGAUGACUGCCCUCUGGGUUGUAAACUUCUUUUAUAUGGGAAUAAAAUGUUCCACGUGUGGGAUUUUGUAUGUACCCUAUGAAAAAGCAUCGGCUAACUCCGUGCCAGCAGCCGCGGUAAUCCUGAGGAUGCGGGCGUUAUCCGGAUUUCUUGGGUUUCAAGGGUGCGCAGGGGGAAGAUCAAGUCAGCGAGAAAAUUGAGAGGCUAAACCUCUUCGAGCCGUUGAAACUGGUUUGCUGGAGUGAAUGAGAAGUAUGCGGAAUGCGUGGUGUAGCGGUGAAAUGCGUAGAUAUCACGCAGAACUCCAGUUGCGAAGGCAGCAUACCGGCGCUCAACUGACGCUCAUGCACGAAAGUGUGGGUAUCGAACAGGAUUAGAUACCCUUGUAGUC